rnacentral:rRNA from 1 species
AUGAGUACUUCAUGCUGAAACAUCCGCGGGCUGGGCACCCCUGCGACAGUUCAUGAGCUGCGCAACCUCUUGCCGGCGAUCCUUUGCGUGGUGAAAACACAGAUGAUGAAGUAUCGUGUGGAAGGUUUGUCUGGAACUUAGAGUUUUGAUCAUGCGUAUGGUGUGAGUAGCAGCGGAAGAAGUGGUGGUUUGUGCAUUUUCUAG